GAUUAAGCCAACACAAAUAUCUAUAUAAAGUUGCAAUAUGGGCAACAGUUUCUACCCACUACCGUAAAUAGUGGACUAUAGGUAAACGAAAAUUAAGA
rnacentral:ncRNA from 2 species